ensembl:lncRNA LINC00448 long intergenic non-protein coding RNA 448
GACCCCAGAGAGAUCCCUUGCAAGUUCCACCAUGUGAGGAUACAGGGAGAAAAUGGCAGUCUAUGAACCAGGAAGCAAGUCUUCACCAGAACCCAGCUGUGCUAGCACCCUGAACUCAGGCUUUCAGCCUCCAGAACUAUCCUCAGAGCUUUAUAGCCUUUCAGUUGAGAAAUAUGAAACACUGAAAAUCAAAAACAAAUGCUGGAAAUCUUCUAUCAGGAGUUCUUCUACAGAUUGAAAACCUGCACAGUAGAGAAUACAACCUAAGGAGUAUUUUACAUGCCUUCCUUUGUAUCAGGGCAGACUCAUGAUUAGUGGACUUGGAAGUUCAUAAAAUUUGGAGGGUCCUCUUUAAGAAAGAGAGGAAAAGGUUAUAAAUACAAAAUUAGAUGCAAAGACUGAGUCCUGAAAAGAGAGAGGUGAUGAUGUUUGUAUAGGUUGUUGCCUUUGUUUGUGAACUUCCCUGAAAAAAUGGAUGAGGAAUCACAACUUCUUUGCCUGCCACCAUGUAAGAUAUGCCUUUCACCUUCAGCCAUGAUUGCGAGGCCUCCCCAGCCUGAUGGAAUUAAAAACCAUGCCUUUCCUAUGUGGAUAAUCAGCAAAGCUGAGGACAUCGGGAAGCAACUCAGGAUUGCCAGUUUACAGCUCUUCUGGAUGUGCACUGGUUAAUGCAUGGAAUUCAGCAACAGCAGACUUUGUUCCUUUGAUGGAUCCAGAAGAUCGCCACAUCAAGGAAUAUGGUGGUAAAACUGCAAGAUAAUCUGCCACCCCUAACAACUAUAGAAGUUCUAAGGAUGUUAGAGACUCAUAGAGAGGAAUUCUAAUGGCCAUACUUGAACCGUUGCAGCAAUACACUCAGAAGAUUGGUGAAAGAAAAGAAAGGCAUUUUGAAAGUGAUUUUCAAAAAACAGUUAAUCCAGAAUUCCAUAUUUAGCAAAAUUAUACUUCAAGAAUGAAUGUGACAUGAUAAUGUCAAUGAAAAGAAAAACAAAAUAAUUUGUCACCCCAAAAAAUUAUUGAACAAGAAUGCUAAAGAAAGUAGUGUAUAACGUAUAUGGCUGUGAAAUAUAUUAUGAUUAAAGCCUAGAGGAUUUUGGAA